GGGCGAUUAGCUCAGUUGGUUAGAGCGCGUCACUGAUAAUGACGAGGUCCCAGGUUCGAAUCCUGGAUCGCCCACCA
rnacentral:tRNA from 1 species